GAUUUUAUCGGUAUAAGAUGGGCUCGCGUCUGAUUAGCUAGUUGGAGGGAUAAAAGCCCCCCAAGGCGACGAUCAGUAACCGGCUUGAGAGAGUGAACGGUCACAUUGGAACUGAGACACGGUCCAAACUCCUACGGGAGGCAGCAGUGGGGAAUAUUGCACAAUGGGGGAAACCCUGAUGCAGCGACGCCGCGUGAGCGACGAAGGUUUUCGAAUCGUAAAGCUCUGUCCUUGGAGAAGAUAAUGACGGUAACCAAGGAGGAAGCACCGGCUAAAUACGUGCCAGCAGCCGCGGUAAUACGUAUGGUGCGAGCGUUGUCCGGAAUUAUUGGGCGUAAAGGGUACGUAGGCGGUUUAGCAAGUCAGAUGUUAAAGCGUGGGGCUUAACCCCAUAAAGCAUUUGAAACUGUUAAACUUGAGUAGUGGAGAGGAAAGUGGAAUUCCUAGUGUAGCGGUGAAAUGCGUAGAUAUUAGGAGGAAUACCAGUUGCGAAGGCGACUUUCUGGACACAAACUGACGCUGAGGUACGAAAGCGUGGGGAGCAAACGGGAUUAGAUACCCUGGUAGUCCACCCCGUAAACGAUGAAUGCUAGGUGUUGGGGGUCAAACCUCGGGGCCGAAGUUAACACAUUAAGCAUUCCGCCUGGGGAGUACGGUGGCAACACUGAAACUCAAAGGAAUUGACGGGGACCCGCACAAGCAGCGGAGCAUGUGGUUUAAUUUGAUGCAACGCGAAGAACCUUACCAGGGCGUGACAUAUAUGCGCUAGCACUAGAGAUAGUGGGUUCUCUUCGGAGACGCAUAUACAGGUGGUGCAUGGUUGUCGUCAGCUCGUGUCGUGAGAUGUUGGGUUAAGUCCCGCAACGAGCGCAACCCCUAUAUUUAGUUACCAGCAUAUAAGGUGGGGACUCUAGAUAGACUGCCGGUGAUAAACCGGAGGAAGGUGGGGAGGACGUCAAAUCAUCAUGCCCUUUAUGUCCUGGGCUACACACGUGCUACAAUGGCCGGUACAGAGGGAAGCGAAGCCGUGAGGUGAAGCGAAUCUCAUAAAGCCGGCCCCAGUUCGGAUUGUAGGCUGCAACUCGCCUACAUGAAGCCGGAGUUGCUAGUAAUCGCAAAUCAGAAUGUUGCGGUGAAUAAAAGGCCGGGUCUUGCACUCACCGCCCGU
rnacentral:rRNA from 1 species